UCUUUGAUGACACUUUUCUUC
rnacentral:misc_RNA from 1 species